rnacentral:lncRNA from 1 species
AGGGGCCUUCAGGGCCUCAAGGACCAACAGGAUUUCCUGGACCCAAAGGCCCUCCGGGUCCACCAGGAAAAGACGGAUUGCCAGGCCAUCCUGGGCAGAGAGGUGAAACGGGCUUCCAAGGGAAGACAGGUCCACCUGGACCCCCAGGUGUUGUUGGUCCACAGGGCCCUACAGGAGAAACAGGCCCAAUGGGUGAACGUGGCCAUCCGGGCCCUCCCGGCCCCCCUGGGGAACAGGGACUCCCUGGCUUGGCUGGAAAAGAAGGAACAAAGGGUGACCCAGGCCCCGCCGGUUUGCCUGGGAAAGACGGCCCAGCAGGCUUCAGAGGCUUCCCCGGAGACCGAGGACUCCCCG